UGAAGUGGAGCUUGCUCCACGGAUUAGUGGCGAACGGGUGAGGAACACGCGAGAAACCUGCCUCGGAUUUGGGAUACAAAUGGAAACGUUUGCUAAUACCAAUAAUGUCGGAGAGUCACAUGACUUUCUGACGAAAGGAAUUCCGAUUCGAGAGGGUCUCGCGGCCUAUCAGCUUGUUGGCGGGGUAAUGGCCCACCAAGGCAACGACGGGUAGCUGGUCUGAGAGGAUGAUCAGCCACACUGGGACUGAGAUACGGCCCAGACUCC
rnacentral:rRNA from 1 species